ensembl:misc_RNA Metazoa_SRP Metazoan signal recognition particle RNA
GCCAGGCACAGUGGCACGUGCCUGUAGUCCCAGCCACUUGGGAGGCUGAGGUGGGAGGAUCUCUUGAGCCCAGGAGUUCUGGGCUGUAGUGCGCUAUGCCAACCAGGUGUCUGCACUAAGUUCAGCAUCAAUAUGGUGACCUCUCGGGAGCGGGGGGACCACCAGGUUGCCUCAGGAGGGGCAAAGUAGCCCAGGUUGGAAAUGGAACAGGUCAAAACUCCCUUGCUAAUCAGUAGUGGGAUCGCGCCUGUGAAUAGCCACUGCACUCCAGCCUGGAGAGGGAGACCCCGUCUCUU